GUCUGCUGCUGAGACCAGAGGAGGCAGCUGGCUUCUGUGCGGAGGCCUUGCUUAUUGAAAAAUUUGUCUGUUGUUCAAGAGAAUUCUCAUCAGUGCAAUGAGACGCUCGGGCCAUGAGAGGUACCCUGGGAUGAUGGGGAACGGCGCACGGAUGUCCGAUGAUGCCCUCCAUCUCAGCUCCCUCGCGGCGCUCUCUCACCUCCAGGUUUAAAUCGGGUCUCUCUCUUUUCCUGCUGUUUGGAUACCUGCGAGCAGAGGCUCACGUGACAGGACUCCACCACGGCCUCUGUUGGGGCGGCUCUCGCCAGUGGCCCGGUUCACUGACUUGUGCUCUUUGCAACCAACAGGGGUAGCACCCCCCUUAUUUUCCUGAAGCUCAGAGGUGAGGUGGGCUGUGUUCCAGGGCUGCUGCCUCCCUACCCACGUUCCUUGCCUGCCCUCCUGUGUUUCCCAUAGUGACACUGACAUCUCAGCCCCCGGACCCGAGGGGAAGCCGCAGGGCCAGAGGAGAAGGGACCAGGCUUUCUAAGACAGGCAAGUGCAGAAGCCCACUCCCCAGCCCCUACCCUGGCCACCCUCCCACUCUGGGUCGCUGCUUCCACUGCUCUGUUCUCCCCAGUGUCUAACACUUCUAUUAAACAUAGUAUUUUUUACUGAUGUGUAAUAUACAUAUACACAUGUGCAUAAAUUGUAAGCUUCCUGCUUGAUGGACUUUUGCAAACUGAACACAGCCAGGUCACCAGCACUCAGAUGAAGAAUCGGGACAGGUACUACCACCUUGGAAUAUUUCAUCGUGCCCCUUGUCAGGCGCUGCGCACACUAGUUUCUAAUACGAUAGAUUUGUUUUAGCCUGCGUUUGAACUUCAUGUAAGCGAAGUCAUGUCAGGACGUACGCUUUUUGUGCCUGGCCUCUCUCGCUCAAGAUUCACUUACAGUCAUCGUGUAGCGAAUAGCACGUCGUCUCUCAUUACUUUGUGACGGUCCGUUGUGCGAAUACACCUCAGUUUACUUCUGCGUUCUACUGCUGAGUCUUCCAGAUUUUGGCCGCUACGUGUGUUGCCAUGAAUAUUCGCAGAAAUCUUUGCCUGUCCCAAAGUUAUGAAGAUAUUCUGCUUUCUCCUAGAAGCUUUAUUGUCAUAUCUCUCACAUGGGUAUCUGCAAUCCAGCUGGAGUUGAUUUGCGUGUAUGCUGUAAGAUGUCUGGUUGCCUACCCUGUGCUGGCUACUGGUCACUGGGGAUCCACAGCGGACAAAACGGACAGCAAAUUCCACUCUCAUGGAGAAAGGCGAUGCGAACAUAAAUAAAUAAAAUGCAUCAAGUGUGAAGGAAGAUGAUAAUUGCUGUGGAGCAAAAUAGGGCAGGACAGAGGGACUGCGAGUGUUAAUUUCUCCUGCCAGUGCCUCCCCUUAGCAGAACCCGGCCCGCAGCCCACUGAUGGAAUUGCUGGUCAAAGAAGCCUAGGGAUCGCCCCUCUCCCCCACCCCCCUCCCCCCCGGAGAUCCAGGGCAGUCCCAGGGAGAUGAGAACUGGCCUUGACAGUGGACCUUCCGACAGCGAGAUACCUCCUCACGUCCUACCUCCUCCUGGCUAAAGUGAAAGAGACCAAUCACACCAAAUGCUGGCAAGGACAGAGAGGACCUGGAACUCUCUCAUCUUGCUAAUGGUGUGUAUGGUAGUAAAAGUACUUUGGAAAACUGCUCGGCAGUCUCUCUGAUAAAGCUGGAUAGACACCCACCCGGGACCCAGCAAUUCUUCCCCCAGGGAUGUACCCGAGGAGAAGUGAGAACCUACAUUCACAAAAAAGACUUGUCCUCGAAUGUGAAGAGCAGCGCUGUAAUAGCCAAAGUGCUGGAAACACCCCCAAAUGUCUGGAAACAGGAAAAGGGAUUAAAUUAUGGUUAAUGCCUACAAUGGAAUGUGCAUCACAAUAAAAAUAAGCACACCAGUGCUACCUGCAACCACAGGGAUGAAUCCCCAAGACAUUACGCCGAGUGAACUAGGCCAGACGUAACGGAGAACAUAAUUGUGUGACUGCGUGUAUAUCAAGCACAAAGACGGGCAAAACCGAUCUACGGUGAUGAGGGAGGUGGCCUGGCAGGGGGCACGAGAGAAG